AACAAACGCUGGCGGCGUGCCUAAUACAUGCAAGUCGAACGAGAAAGUCCUUUCGGGGGCGAGUACAGUGGCGCACGGGUGAGGAACACGUGGAUAAUCUGCCUUCUAGUGGGGAACAACCAGCCGAAAGGUUGGCUAAUACCGCAUAAGACCACAGUAGCUGCGGCUACAGGGGUUAAAGAUUUAUCGCUAGAAGAUGAGUCCGCGUCCGAUUAGCUUGUUGGUGAGGUAAUGGCUCACCAAGGCUCCGAUCGGUAACUGGUCUGAGAGGAUGAUCAGUCACACUGGAACUGAGACACGGUCCAGACUCCUACGGGAGGCAGCAGUAGGGAAUAUUGCACAAUGGAGGAAACUCUGAUGCAGCGACGCCGCGUGAGUGACGAAGGCCUUCGGGUUGUAAAGCUCUGUUCUAUGGGAAUAAGUUCUGAAGGUACCAUAGAAGAAAGGACCGGCUAACUUCG
rnacentral:rRNA from 1 species